rnacentral:rRNA from 1 species
AUUGAACGCUGGCGGCAGGCUUAACACAUGCAAGUCGAGCGGAGAUGAGGUGCUUGCACCUUAUCUUAGCGGCGGACGGGUGAGUAAUGCUUAGGAAUCUGCCUAUUAGUGGGGGACAACAUUCCGAAAGGAAUGCUAAUACCGCAUACGUCCUACGGGAGAAAGCAGGGGAUCUUCGGACCUUGCGCUAAUAGAUGAGCCUAAGUCGGAUUAGCUAGUUGGUGGGGUAAAGGCCUACCAAGGCGACGAUCUGUAGCGGGUCUGAGAGGAUGAUCCGCCACACUGGGACUGAGACACGGCCCAGACUCCUACGGGAGGCAGCAGUGGGGAAUAUUGGACAAGGGGGGGAACCCUGAUCCAGCCAUGCCGCGUGUGUGAAGAAGGCCUUAUGGUCGUAAAGCACUUUAAGCGAGGAGGAGGCUACUGAGACUAAUACUCUUGGAUAGUGGACGUUACUCGCAGAAUAAGCACCGGCUAACUCUGUGCCAGCCGCCGCGGUAACAC